UUAAAUUGAAGAGUUUGAUCAUGGCUCAGAUUGAACGCUGGCGGCAGGCCUAACACAUGCAAGUCGAACGGUAACAGGAAGCAGCUUGCUGCUUUGCUGACGAGUGGCGGACGGGUGAGUAAUGUCUGGGAAACUGCCUGAUGGAGGGGGAUAACUACUGGAAACGGUAGCUAAUACCGCAUAACGUCGCAAGACCAAAGAGGGGGACCUUCGGGCCUCUUGCCAUCGGAUGUGCCCAGAUGGGAUUAGCUUGUUGGUGGGGUAACGGCUCACCAAGGCGACGAUCCCUAGCUGGUCUGAGAGGAUGACCAGCCACACUGGAACUGAGACACGGUCCAGACUCCUACGGGAGGCAGCAGUGGGGAAUAUUGCACAAUGGGCGCAAGCCUGAUGCAGCCAUGCCGCGUGUAUGAAGAAGGCCUUCGGGUUGUAAAGUACUUUCAGCGGGGAGGAAGGGAGUAAAGUUAAUACCUUUACUCAUUGACGUUACCCGCAGAAGAAGCACCGGCUAACUCCGUGCCAGCAGCCGCGGUAAUACGGAGGGUGCAAGCGUUAAUCGGAAUUACUGGGCGUAAAGCGCACGCAGGCGGUUUGUUAAGUCAGAUGUGAAAUCCCCGGGCUCAACCUGGGAACUGCAUCUGAUACUGGCAAGCUUGAGUCUCGUAGAGGGGGGUAGAAUUCCAGGUGUAGCGGUGAAAUGCGUAGAGAUCUGGAGGAAUACCGGUGGCGAAGGCGGCCCCCUGGACGAAGACUGACGCUCAGGUGCGAAAGCGUGGGGAGCAAACAGGAUUAGAUACCCUGGUAGUCCACGCCGUAAACGAUGUCGACUUGGAGGUUGUGCCCUUGAGGCGUGGCUUCCGGAGCUAACGCGUUAAGUCGACCGCCUGGGGAGUACGGCCGCAAGGUUAAAACUCAAAUGAAUUGACGGGGGCCCGCACAAGCGGUGGAGCAUGUGGUUUAAUUCGAUGCAACGCGAAGAACCUUACCUGGUCUUGACAUCCACAGAACUUUCCAGAGAUGGAUUGGUGCCUUCGGGAACUGUGAGACAGGUGCUGCAUGGCUGUCGUCAGCUCGUGUUGUGAAAUGUUGGGUUAAGUCCCGCAACGAGCGCAACCCUUAUCCUUUGUUGCCAGCGGUCCGGCCGGGAACUCAAAGGAGACUGCCAGUGAUAAACUGGAGGAAGGUGGGGAUGACGUCAAGUCAUCAUGGCCCUUACGACCAGGGCUACACACGUGCUACAAUGGCGCAUACAAAGAGAAGCGACCUCGCGAGAGCAAGCGGACCUCAUAAAGUGCGUCGUAGUCCGGAUUGGAGUCUGCAACUCGACUCCAUGAAGUCGGAAUCGCUAGUAAUCGUGGAUCAGAAUGCCACGGUGAAUACGUUCCCGGGCCUUGUACACACCGCCCGUCACACCAUGGGAGUGGGUUGCAAAAGAAGUAGGUAGCUUAACCUUCGGGAGGGCGCUUACCACUUUGUGAUUCAUGACUGGGGUGAAGUCGUAACAAGGUAACCGUAGGGGAACCUGCGGUUGGAUCACCUCCUUACCUUAAAGAAGC
rnacentral:rRNA from 1 species